CGUCGUCGGGCUGCUCUCCAGUUCGCGGCUCGCGCCUUGACCCUCGCCCACAGCCCUCGCCAUCGCGCUGCCUUGCUUUCGCACCUUCGCCACCUUCGCCGCCUUGUCUGCUUUCGCGCCGUUAGCGCCGUUCCCCCCGUCGGGUCGCCAUCUUUUGUUUCCCGAAGGAAGAAAACAAAGCGAGGAAAGUUUGCGGUAGGGAGCACGACCGUGGCUACCGAGACGGCUGACGGCGCAGUACCCGAGGCGUUUGGCGGGCCCAAUAGUAAACGAACAUAACGGGAUGAUCUGUGGACUGCCCACGAGUACGCACUCAGCAUUGAUGGCAGGCUCAUGGUUCAGAAGAUACCAGACGUCCCUACGGCAUAGGCUGCGCACUCUUUGCGAGUCACUAUUGCUUUAACAUCUGCUACGCUGAAGGCCUGUCAUCGACCCUUGAGUUCCUUCAGAGAGGUUUCCUGAGCAUGAACCCUGACCGUGGCACCAGAGCCAAGCGCUCCAAGUCAGAAGUGAGCAAGAAAGUACUUAACCUGGUCAAGAAAAUAGCAGAGCUGGAGUGGAAUGUGUGAGGCUGUCGGUCAUCCUAUGUGGGAACGAGGCAUGCAACAUGGAGCUCGAGCUCAUUCAACACAAGGUCUUGGCACCAGGAAGAUUUCAGCAGCCAUAAGCAAUGGCACUUGGGUCUAAAUUUGAUCAGAGGGUAUAUGGACCUGGGUCUUCAUCAUCCAAGUAAAUAAAUGUUCUGUUUUUAUUUCUAUCCUACACAUAAUUUAUGCUGUGUUCUGGCUUAAUUGCAUUUGCAUGUACAUACACAACGAUCGCAUUGCAGACAUGAAGACCACGCUACAAUUACAAUAAACAGCAUGCCACAUAUAUUACAGGCACAAAAUGGCUAACCUAAGGAGACUUCGUGACCCAUUGUUUGAUUCAUUGUCUGUUGACCAGUAGUAGGAAGUAAAUCGAAGCAGCAAAACAUGUGCGGUGAAAUGCUAAGCAUGUCGCACAAUACGGUGGGAAGAUGAUAGAAUUCGACAAUGCUUACUUAUGUCGAAUUUUGCAUACUUUCUGACGUGUUGUACGAAGUGCUAGUGCUUCAUUGUGCCAGCAUUUUGCACCUUCAAUUUACUUCUUACGAUGGCCAACUGGCAGUGAAUUAAACGGUCAAGAUUUUUACGGUGACCAUUAAAUUAGCAGUCAGUUGACCGGCAAAUAAACUGCCACCAUGCCGUGAUCUUAGCGGCAGUCAGUAAAUCUCGUUUACGGUCUGUUCAGCAUCGCCCCGUAAAAUUAACGGUAUCUUUUUUUACUGCGACCGUUUAAUUUACUGGGAGAUUACGGUCAGGCAGUAAAUUUGAAUUUACGGUCUGCCGUAUAAAUUACGAGAAGUUGCUGGCAGCCAGAAUGCCAGUCAACUUACCGUAAUUUUGACGGCCCAUUUUUUACAGUG